rnacentral:rRNA from 1 species
AACUAACGCUGGCGGCGUGCCUAACACAUGCAAGUCGUACGAGAAAGCCGGCUUCGGCUGGUGAGUAAAGUGGCGCACGGGUGAGUAACGCGUGGAUAAUCUGCCCUUAAGUGUGGAAUAACGUACCGAAAGGUGCGCUAAUACCGCAUAAUGCCUGGCAACACAAGUUGUCCGGCCAAAGAAGGCCUCUGUUUACAAGCUUUCGCUUCAGGAUGAGUCCGCGUACCAUUAGCUUGUUGGUGGGGUAAUGGCCUACCAAGGCUGCGAUGGUUAGCUGGUCUGAGAGGAUGAAUCAGCCACACUGGAACUGAGACACGGUCCAGACUCCUACGGGAGGCAGCAGUGAGGAAUAUUGCGCAAAUUGGGGGCAAACCCUGACGCAGCAAACGCCGCGUGAGUGAGGAAGGUUUUCGGACUGUUAAAGCUCUGUCGAGCGGGAAGAAAGUGUACCAUGGCUAAAUAUCCAAUGAUAAUUUGAACGGUACCGCUAAGAGG